CGCGUAGGCGGCUUGUUAAGUCAGAUGUGAAAGCCCCGGGCUCAACCUGGGAAUUGCAUUUGAUACUGGCAGGCUAGAGUAUGGUAGAGGGAAGUGGAAUUCCGGGUGUAGCGGUGAAAUGCGUAGAUAUCCGGAGGAACACCAGUGGCGAAGGCGGCUUCCUGGACCAAUACUGACGCUGAGGUGCGAAAGCGGUGGGGAGCAAACA
rnacentral:rRNA from 1 species